rnacentral:rRNA from 1 species
GCGAACGCUGGCGGCAGGCCUAACACAUGCAAGUCGAGCGGCCGUAGCAAUACGGCAGCGGCAGACGGGAUAGUAACACGUGGGAACGUGCCCUUUGGUUCGGAAUAACUCGGCGAAAGCCGUGCUAAUACCGGAUAAGCCCUUACGGGGAAAGAUUUAUCGCCAUUGGAGCGGCCCGCGUCUGAUUAGCUAGUUGGUGAGGUAAUGGCUCACCAAGGCGACGAUCAGUAGCUGGUCUGAGAGGAUGAUCAGCAUCACUGGGACUGAGACACGGCCCAGACUCCUACGGGAGGCAGCAGUGGGGAAUAUUGGACAAUGGGCGCAAGCCUGAUCCAGCCAUGCCGCGUGGAUGAUGAAGGCCUUAGGGUUGUAAAGUCCUUUUAACGGGGAAGAUAAUGACGGUACCCGUAGAAUAAGCCCCGGCUAACUUCGU